ensembl:rRNA 5S_rRNA 5S ribosomal RNA
GCCAGCAGCCAUAUCACCCUGCAACUCACAACUGGCAGCCCACUGAAGCUAAGCAGGUAUGAGCCUGGUCAGCACCUGGAUGGGAGACCUCCUGGGAAAAACUAAGGUUGCUGCUGGAA